rnacentral:rRNA from 1 species
GGUUAAGCGACUAAGCGUACACGGUGGAUGCCUAGGCAAUCAGAGGCGAUGAAGGACGUGCUAAUCUGCGAAAAGCGUCGGUAAGGUGAUAUGAACCGUUAUACCCGACGAUGUCCGAAUGGGGAAACCCAGUGCAAUUCGUUGCACUAUCGUUUGAUGAAUACAUAGUCAAACGAGGCGAACCGAGGGAACUGAAACAUCUCAGUACCUCGAGGAAAAGAAAUCAACCGAGAUUCCCCUAGUAGCGGCGAGCGAACGGGGAGCAGCCCAGAGUCUUAAUCAGCAUUAGCAUCAGGAGAACAGUCUGGAAAGGCUGGCAGUAAAGGGUGAUAGCCCCGUAUCCGAAGGUGUUAGUGUUGUGAACUCGACGAGUAGGGCGGGACACGUGUUAUCCUGUCUGAAUAUGGGGGGACCAUCCUCCAAGGCUAAAUACUCCUGAUUGACCGAUAGUGAACCAGUACCGUGAGGGAAAGGCGAAAAGAACCCCGGCGAGGGGAGUGAAAUAGAACCUGAAACCGUGUACGUACAAGCAGUGGGAGCACCCUUCGGGGUGUGACUGCGUACCUUUUGUAUAAUGGGUCAGCGACUUAUAUUCUGUAGCAAGGUUAACCGAAUAGGGGAGCCGUAGGGAAACCGAGUCUUAACUGGGCGAAUGAGUUGCAGGGUAUAGACCCGAAACCCGGUGAUCUAGCCAUGGGCAGGUUGAAGGUUGGGUAACACUAACUGGAGGACCGAACCGACUAAUGUUGAAAAAUUAGCGGAUGACUUGUGGCUGGGGGUGAAAGGCCAAUCAAACCGGGAGAUAGCUGGUUCUCCCCGAAAGCUAUUUAGGUAGCGCCUCGUGAACUCAUCUUCGGGGGUAGAGCACUGUUUCGACUAGGGGGUCAUCCCGACUUACCAACUCGAUGCAAACUACGAAUACCGAAGAAUGUUAUCACGGGAGACACACGGCGGGUGCUAACGUUCGUCGUGAAGAGGGAAACAACCCAGACCGCCAGCUAAGGUCCCAAAGUCAUAGUUAAGUGGGAAACGAAGUGGGAAGGCUCAGACAGCCAGGAUGUUGGCUUAGAAGCAGCCAUCAUUUAAAGAAAGCGUAAUAGCUCACUGGUCGAGUCGGCCUGCGCGGAAGAUGUAACGGGGCUAAACUAUGCACCGAAGCUGCGGCAGCGAUAUUUAGAUAUUGUUGGGUAGGGGAGCGUUCUGUAAGCCUGUGAAGGUGUACUGUGAGGUAUGCUGGAGGUAUCAGAAGUGCGAAUGCUGACAUAAGUAACGAUAAUGCGGGUGAAAAACCCGCACGCCGGAAGACCAAGGGUUCCUGUCCAACGUUAAUCGGGGCAGGGUGAGUCGACCCCUAAGGCGAGGCAGAAAUGCGUAGUCGAUGGGAAACGGGUUAAUAUUCCCGUACUGGUGAUAAUUGCGAUGGGGGGACGGAGAAGGUUAGGCUGGCCGGGCGACGGUUGUCCCGGUUUAAGGAUGUAGGCAGGUGAAUUAGGCAAAUCCGGUUCACUACAUGCUGAGGUCUGAUGACGAGCCACUACGGUGGUGAAGUAGCUCAUACCCCGCUUCCAGGAAAAGCCUCUAAGCUCUAGAUUAUCAUUAAUCGUACCCCAAACCGACACAGGUGGUCAGGUAGAGAAUACUCAGGCGCUUGAGAGAACUCGGGUGAAGGAACUAGGCAAAAUGGUGCCGUAACUUCGGGAGAAGGCACGCUGGCACUAGGUGAAGUGGUUUACCCAUGGAGCUGAAGCCAGUCGCAGAUACCAGCUGGCUGCAACUGUUUAUUAAAAACACAGCACUGUGCAAACACGAAAGUGGACGUAUACGGUGUGACGCCUGCCCGGUGCUGGAAGGUUAAUUGAUGGGGUUAUCCGUAAGGAGAAGCUCUUGAUCGAAGCCCCAGUAAACGGCGGCCGUAACUAUAACGGUCCUAAGGUAGCGAAAUUCCUUGUCGGGUAAGUUCCGACCUGCACGAAUGGCGUAAUGAUGGCCAGGCUGUCUCCACCCGAGACUCAGUGAAAUUGAACUCGCUGUGAAGAUGCAGUGUACCCGCGGCAAGACGGAAAGACCCCGUGAACCUUUACUAUAGCUUGACACUGAACAUUGAGCCUUGAUGUGUAGGAUAGGUGGGAGGCUUCGAAGCGUGGACGCCAGUCUGCGUGGAGCCAACCUUGAAAUACCACCCUUUAAUGUUUGAUGUUCUAACGUUGCCCCGUAAUCCGGGGUGCGGACAGUGUCUGGUGGGUAGUUUGACUGGGGCGGUCUCCUCCCAAAGAGUAACGGAGGAGCACGAAGGUUGGCUAAGCAUGGUCGGACAUCAUGCGGUUAGUGCAAAGGCAUAAGCCAGCUUGACUGCGAGAGUGACGGCUCGAGCAGGUACGAAAGUAGGUCUUAGUGAUCCGGUGGUUCUGAAUGGAAGGGCCAUCGCUCAACGGAUGAAAGGUACUCCGGGGAUAACAGGCUGAUACCGCCCAAGAGUUCAUAUCGACGGCGGUGUUUGGCACCUCGAUGUCGGCUCAUCACAUCCUGGGGCUGAAGUAGGUCCCAAGGGUACGGCUGUUCGCCGUUUAAAGUGGUACGCGAGCUGGGUUUAGAACGUCGUGAGACAGUUCGGUCCCUAUCUGCCGUGGGCGUUGGAAGAUUGAAAGGGGCUGCUCCUAGUACGAGAGGACCGGAGUGGACGCACCACUGGUGUUCGGGUUGUCAUGCCAAUGGCAUUGCCCGGUAGCUAAGUGCGGAAAAGAUAACCGCUGAAAGCAUCUAAGCGGGAAACUUGCCUUGAGAUGAGUCUUCCCUGACUCUUUAAGGGUCCUAAAGGAACGUUUAAGACUAAGACGUUGAUAGGUUGGGUGUGUAAGCGUAGCGAUACGUUGAGCUAACCAAUACUAAUGAACCGUGAGGCUUAACCUG